rnacentral:lncRNA from 1 species
CUUGGGUGGAGUGGUGCGAUCUUGGCUCAUGGCAACCUCUGCCUCCCGAGUCCAAGCGAUUUUCCUGCCUCAGUCUCCCGAGUAGCUGGGAUUACAGGUGCCAUCCACCACACCUGUCUAAUUUUGGGAUAUUUAGUAGAGAUGGGGUUCCACCAUGUUGACCAGGCUGGUCUCGAACUCCUGAUCUCAGGUGAUCCAGCCGCCUCAGCUUCCCAAAGUGCUGAGAUUACAGGUGUGAGCCACUGCGCUCAGCCAGAUUUAAGGGACUUUAAAGAAGUUUGUGUGGCUGAAGCCUGCAGGCCAAGCGAGAGAAUCAGGAAAUGAGGCUGGAGAAAGAGAGGGG